rnacentral:rRNA from 1 species
UACGAAGGGGGCUAGCGUUGCUCGGAAUCACUGGGCGUAAAGCGCACGUAGGCGGACUCUUAAGUCGGGGGUGAAAUCCUGGAGCUCAACUCCAGAACUGCCUUCGAUACUGGGAGUCUUGAGUUCGGGAGAGGUGAGUGGAACUGCGAGUGUAGAGGUGAAAUUCGUAGAUAUUCGCAAGAACACCAGUGGCGAAGGCGGCUCACUGGCCCGAUACUGACGCUGAGGUGCGAAGGCGUGGGGAGCAAACAGG